rnacentral:rRNA from 1 species
GGAAUUUUGGACAAUGGGGGCAACCCUGAUCCAGCAACGCCGCGUGAAGGAUGAAGGUCUUCGGAUUGUAAACUUCUUUUGUCUGGGAAUAAGAAAUCUGUGGAAACACGGAGAGUGAAUGUACCAGAUGAAUAAGCCACGGCUAACUUCGUGCCAGCAGCCGCGGUAAUACGAAGGUGGCAAGCGUUACUCGGAAUUACUAGGCGUAAAGGGCAGGUAGGUGGUUUGAUAAGUCUGUUGUGGAAGCUCCCGGCUUAACUGGGAGAGGUCAACAGAUACUAUCAAGCUUGAGUGUGGGAGAGGGUACUGGAAUUCCCGGUGUAGCGGUGAAAUGCGCAGAGUUCGGGAGGAACACCAAUGGCGAAAGCAGGUACCUGGACCACUACUGACACUCAGCUGCGAAAGCUAGGGGAGCAAA